rnacentral:rRNA from 1 species
GAUGAACGCCGGCGGCGUGCCUAAUACAUGCAAGUCGAGCGAACGGACGGGAAGCUUGCUUUUCUGAUGUUAGCGGCGGACGGGUGAGUAACACGUGGAUAACCUACCUAUAAGACUGGGAUAACUUCGGGAAACCGGAGCUAAUACCGGAUAAUAUUUUGAACCGCAUGGUUCAAAAGUGAAAGACGGUCUUGCUGUCACUUAUAGAUGGAUCCGCGCUGCAUUAGCUAGUUGGUAAGGUAACGGCUUACCAAGGCAACGAUGCAUAGCCGACCUGAGAGGGUGAUCGGCCACACUGGAACUGAGACACGGUCCAGACUCCUACGGGAGGCAGCAGUAGGGAAUCUUCCGCAAUGGGCGAAAGCCUGACGGAGCAACGCCGCGUGAGUGAUGAAGGUCUUCGGAUCGUAAAACCCUGUUAUUAGGGAAGAACAUAUGUGUAAGUAACUGUGCACAUCUUGACGGUACCUAAUCAGAAAGCCACGGCUAACUACGUG